GAUGAACGCUGGCGGCGUGCCUAAUACAUGCAAGUCGAGCGAACAGACGAGGAGCUUGCUCCUCUGACGUUAGCGGCGGACGGGUGAGUAACACGUGGAUAACCUACCUAUAAGACUGGGAUAACUUCGGGAAACCGGAGCUAAUACCGGAUAAUAUAUUGAACCGCAUGGUUCAAUAGUGAAAGACGGUUUUGCUGUCACUUAUAGAUGGAUCCGCGCCGCAUUAGCUAGUUGGUAAGGUAACGGCUUACCAAGGCAACGAUGCGUAGCCGACCUGAGAGGAUGAUCGGCCACACUGGAACUGAGACACGGUCCAGACUCCUACGGGAGGCAGCAGUAGGGAAUCUUCCGCAAUGGGCGAAAGCCUGACGGAGCAACGCCGCGUGAGUGAUGAAGGUCUUCGGAUCGUAAAACUCUGUUAUUAGGGAAGAACAAAUGUGUGAGUAACUAUGCACGUCUUGACGGUACCUAAUCAGAAAGCCACGGCUAACUACGUG
rnacentral:rRNA from 1 species